rnacentral:lncRNA from 1 species
CAUCAAGAAUGUACCCAAUCCUAAUAUAUUUAGGAUUCAUACUUUAAUUAAUAUCUAAAUCUAUUCUUAAUCAAUCUCUAAUAGAUUUAAAUAUUAAUUCUAAUCUAGUUAGGUUUAUCCUCUAAUUAAUAUUUAAAUCUUGAUUUAUCUUCAACAGAUUUAAAUAUUAAUUCUAAUCCAAAUAGGAUUCAAUUACAAAUCUAACCAAAUCCUAACAAUCUCCACCUUGGUUGGAUUUGUAAUCUUCAACCGUCACGUCGAGCUCACCAUGCAAGCUCCACCUUAAGCUUGUCUCCUCCGCUCGAUGUCGUCGCAUCCGCCGCUCCGCCUCGAGCGACUGCUCAUCCGCGAACUUUUUGCUUCCGUUCUGACUAUGCUCCCGUUCAGAACGUAUAAGUUCCCGUGCUUGUUCGCCUCGCACAUGACCCGAUCUCAUUUUCGGACUCUCAUAGCUCCACCUGAAGCCGAAAUAUCGCAACCCUUCGAGUCCAAUGCGCCUAACGAGAUCAAAUUUCGCUUCAAUCCAGGAACGUACCGCACACCUGUCAGCGUCCUCACGACCCCAUCGUGCAUUCGGAUCUUCACCGUACCGACUCCCAAAACUUUGCACGUCGUCCCGUUCCCCAUUAGAGCUUUUCUACCUUUGAUCGCCUUAUAGGUUGCAAAAGACUCCUUCUCCGGGCAUACGUAAAAAAAACACGCCGAAUCGAGCACCCACGCGUCAUCCGAAAUUUUCGCACCUCCGGUCGCCGCAUAUAGCACAUCAAAAUCAAACAUCUCCGACUCUGCCGUCUGUGCCGUCGUUGAUACCGUCUCGUCCUGGUUCACGACAGUUUUCUCCUUUUGUCGCUUUAACUCCUUCAGAUCAUUCUGAAGUUUUCGACAGUUGCGCUUUAUAUGCCAUUUCCUGUGACAAUAAAAGCACUCCACCUCAGAUAGCGACUUCUUCUGUCGAUCUCCGGUCGCUGAUGUUGUCGCCUCCUUCUUCACUCUCACCACCAAAGCUGUAUCCCGGUUCUGUGUGCCGGACUCCUGAGUCAUCUUCCGCAUCUCGUUUGAGAGAAGCGCCGCCGUGACCGCCUCCACGCUUAUGGUCUCCUUGCCAUAAAGUAACGUGGUCACCAGAUGCUCAUAUGUCGCCGGUAGCGAAGAUAGUAAAAUCAGCGUCUUAUCUUCGUCAUCCAGAUUGACUCCGAUGCUAGUCAACUGGGCCACCACCUUGUUAAACUCGUUCAGAUGCUCAUGUAGGCUUGCCGCUUCUUGCAUCCGCAGCGUAAACAGUCGCUGCUUCAGAUACAACCUGUUCGUUAAGGAUUUGGUCAUAUACAGAUCUUCCAGUUUCUUCCACAACUUCGCCGGUGUCGUCUCGCUGGCUACGUUGUAAAGAACCUCAUCUGCUAAUAAUAGAUGAAGCGUACUCAGCGCCUUCCGCUCCAUCUUCGUCCAUGCCGUAUCCGUGACCUCCGCCGGCUUCGCCUCUUUUCCGUUCAACGUUUCAUCUAACUCUUGCUGUACGAGGAUCGCUCGUACUUUAAUUUGCCACAAUCCGAAAUUGUUCUUGCCGUCGAACUUCUCGAUUUCGAAUUUCGUGGCCAUCUUUGUCGAUCUCUCCCUCGGAUCGAUAACCUUCAGCUCUGAUACCACUUGUUGGGAAUCCGGUACUCGCCCCGGUACCGGAUCUUGUGAAUCCGCAACCCGCUCCGAUACCGACUGCUGUGGAUUCGGUACCGAUUGUUGGGAUUCCGCAACGGAAACGUCAAAUCGGGUUUUUACUAUAAACCCGUCUCCUCAGCAAAAACUGAUACAAUCAUAAAAGAGAGAAAAAAUCAAAACAGAAAAUAUGCGGGCAAAACAAGAUUCAAUAAAUAAGAGAAGAUUACACCUGACUCCUCUUCUGCACAGAGUAGCUAUAACCCGAGUCCUCUUUUUGAAUCUCUCCUACCCUUCUCUCGUCUUCUAUAAUCCCAUAAAGAAGACAAUCCUCCACGCGCACCCGUGCACUAGGUGCACUCAACUCAUUAACUCUCUCUCUCUCUUUCACUUUUUCUCUCGAGUACGACACACCCCACAAGAGACUCUUUUUUCUCUUUCAGGUACGGCACCCCACAAGGCUCUGCCUACUACUCGGAAGACCAGCCUUAAUUAACUGGCCGUACCAUCUCCCCAAAAAGAGACUCUAAUGCAUUAUAUAUGAUGCUCCAUCAAAAAUGUACCAAAUCUUAAUAUAUUUAGAAUUCAUACUUUAAUUAAUAUCUAAAUCUAUUCUUAAUCAAUCUCUAAUAGAUUUAAAUAUUAAUUCUAAUCUAGUUAGAUUUAUCCUCUAAUUAAUAUUUCAAUCUUGAUUUAUCUCCAACAGAUUUAAAUAUUAAUUCUAAUUCAAAUAGGAUUCAAUUACAAAUCUAACUAAAUCCUAACAAAUCCCUUCCCAUAAAA